rnacentral:rRNA from 1 species
AUUGAACGCUGGCGGCAUGCCUAACACAUGCAAGUCGAACGAAGGCUUCGGCCUGAGUGGCGGACGGGUGAGUAAUGCGUAGGAACCUGCCCCGUAGUGGGGGACAACGUGGGGAAACUCACGCUAAUACCGCAUACGCCCCAAGGGGGAAAGCGGGGGACCUUCGGGCCUCGCGCUAUGGGAUGGGCCUACGUUGGAUUAGCUAGUUGGCGGGGUAAGGGCCCACCAAGGCGACGAUCCAUAGCCGGCCUGAGAGGGUGGUCGGCCACACCGGGACUGAGACACGGCCCGGACUCCUACGGGAGGCAGCAGUGGGGGAAUAUUGGGCAAUGGGCGAAAGCCUGACCCAGCAAUGCCGCGUGUGUGAAGAAGGCCU